rnacentral:tRNA from 1 species
GCCCUGAUGGUCUAGCGGUAUGAUUCUCCCUUAGGGUCUUCACAGACAUGUCUGGGAGAGGUCCCAGGUUCGAAUCCUGGUUAGGGCC